GGAUUGUGAGGGCGAUCUGGCUGCGACAUCUGCCACUCCACUGAUCGCCAGGGUUGAUUCGGCUGAUCUGGCUGGCUAGGCAGGUGUCCCCUUCCUCCCUCAAUGCUCCAUGUGCCUCCCUCCCGAAGCUGUGCGCUUGGUCGAAGAGGACGACCACCCCGAUAGAGGAGGACCGUUCCUUGGUCAAGAGUAUACGAGUAGCUGCACUCCCCUGCUAGAACCUCCAAACAAGCUCUCAAGAAUCAAAAAAAAUCAGACCCCCCCAAAUUUGAAGACCCAAUCCAAAAAUGAUAUUCUGAGAUU
rnacentral:snRNA from 1 species